rnacentral:lncRNA from 1 species
AAAGAGUGAGGACAAGCAGGAAGAGAGGGGGGAAGAGAGGGAGGUAAAGAGGGAAGGGGAGAAGAGAAGAGGGGGGAGGGGGGGGGGGGGGGGGGGGGGGGGGGGGGGGGGGGGAUAGAGGGAGAGAGAUCUGCCUCCCAAUCCCUCCCUCCACUCACUCCCUCCCUCCCUCCCUCUCUCUCUCCAAGCCUGUCUGUCCUGCCUCUCUCUCCACCCAGACAUGACUGGGGAUUGAUUUAGGUCAGCAAGUCUGGGGCUCUGCUGCACUCUGUCUCCACUCCCCAUUCAUUCGCUCAUCUGAAAAGGUCGACGAUGGUGAUCGUCGCAGGGACUUGCCAGAUGGGUGGUAGCAACAGUGCCGUGGUCUAGCCAGAGCCCAAAAUGAGAGGAUAGGAUGCCAGGACGCCGGGCCCGAGUUGAUUGGCACCUGAACGACGAAAGAGGAGUAGCACCGGGUAUGUCCUCCCAGGAACACGAAGGGGAGACGACACAUCGGGUAUGUCUUCCCAGGAACAUGAAGGGAAGACGACACAUCAGGUAUGUCCUCCCAGGAACAUGAA